AAUACAGGAAUUAUUCAUUUCCAAUUUCGUUCACUCAACUGAAAAUGUCUCCUUAAAACAUUUGUAUCCUAUAUCAAAUAUUUAAUAUUGGAGUAUUUAAUUAUCUCUUCAAAUAAUUAUUCAAGUGGUUGAUUAGCUUUUUUCUCCAACUAAAAGCUGUAUAGUUCCUUGAGGUGGUCUUCAUUCCGUAAACAUGCCGAAUGCAGUUGAAGAACAGGAACUUUAUUUUCGAAAAAGAAGUAGGUGAAACUUUUUGACCAAGUAGAACAUAUGAAGUCUAGUAGAGGAAACAUCCAUAAUGCAAAUGUGAAAGAUUUCCAGGAACUUAAACUAAAGAGAAGGAAGGGGUGAAACUCGGUGAGCGAGUUUAAUGCCCUGUAGAUCGUAACGUGUGAAGCAGAAUGCCUAAAUUUUACUGUAGCGCAAUACUAUAUUAUGUAAUGUAACUUUACAUCAAGAUUUAAAAGAAAAUGUUACCAUAGAUAUAAGUGGGUAUGUGUGUGUGUUUGAAUGACGUUUGAGAGGAGGUAUUGGAGACACUAACUCCUCCAGGUUAAUGACUGGCUGCAGGCUGUGCGACUUAAGGGUUUUAAAAGCCUGCGCGUGUCACCGAAGCCAGUUUCUCAUGGGGUUUGUCGUGAGCAAGCACGCGCACGGAGCGGUGGUCGCCUCAACAGCAGUAUGUGAAGCUUCGACCAGCGGGACUGGUUCCUGUGUAAUAAGCCAGGGUCCCCGGACACUCCCCAGCAUUAUUGUCACGGCGCCGUCCCGGGAGGACCUUCUGACGCCGAACCCUGUUAGGACGAUAGAGGGCGCCACCAAGGAGCGCAGACCGGGUGUCCCCGUCUACAUCAACCGUCAGCCCUUUACUAAAAGCUAACAUGCGAUUAUCCAAGUACAGUAUCUUCUGGCGUAAUGCCAUUGUGAAAUAAUUUGUCUAAUCUGUAAUGCAUUUCCAUUUUUCAGUUAAUAUACCAUUGGUGUAGUAGUAUGAAUGGAUGGACAGAUGGAUAGUGACAUUCAGUGUACUCAACUAGCCAAAGACCCUUUCACAGCAAUUUGGUCCUGGUGUGUUUUUCUGGUUUUGUGUACCAUGUGUCUGGCGAGUUGGCACAGUCCUUAACAUGAAUACACCCAGAUUUGACCCUGCACCUAAAGCAAAAGUAGUAGACAUCCAUUUACACAAUUCAAGACCACUGCCUUCAUGUACAGACUUUUUAAUUCUCCUUAGAAGCAUCAAAUUACUGUGAAAAUAUUAAAGGAGGCCUUUGCACUUAAGGAUGAUUUGAAAAGGCUUUGCAUUCAGAAAAAAAGUGAGUUUUGGAGCUUGCUUCCCGACUGCAGGAAAUGGACUGCUGUGACGUUGGGAAAUUAGUAGCGGUUUUAAGGGAUAAUCUCCGGCACAUUCCGUUUAAUUCUCAAAAAGCUUAUUUUGAAGACUUAUCCUUUAUAGCUGGCGAGAAAGCAUCCGUCCGAUAUAGUCAAUUGCUGCAAAUAUCUGUUUGAGCUGCUAUUCUUGUUUUAUACCCCAAAAGAAGCCAUUUUGCUGCAUGAUGUUUUUGAUUUGACCAAAUAUCAUCACCAUGGUAACCCAGACUGGGAGAAAGGGAAGGAUGGAUGCAAAUCAUCUAUGAACGUAGUUCAUGACUUACUGUGAUGCUGCUGAAGUCCAUGAACGGUCCACGACCCUGCAGUCCAGCAGGGGGAGGAGACGCAUUCCAGCGACAUGUCCAUCCCCCCUCGCCAUGAGGCACCAUUAAUGCGGCAAGACCUAAUGCAAAGUGUUUUAGGGCCACCUGACUGGAGGAGCUGUUGCUUCAGAGCUGCAAUCCCACAGCUUUCAUGCACGUGAAACAGAGCGGAAAAGAGUGUCUGACUUCCACCACUUCUACAUCCGUAGUGCAACAUGGAAGAAACACGAUUUUUUUCCCCCUAUAGUGUUGAUCAAUGUCUCAACCCAGUUCUCUGGGACCACAAAAGCAGGAAUGCAGAAUGCUUGUUUACACAUGAUAGUUUGGAUGCAGUCUGUAAUAAACUUGGUGGUGUAUAAUUUUAUUAUCCCCCCACCCUACAAACAGAGCUUUCGUUUUGUAACUCUCCAUUUCAGGUGUGAUAUUUACAUACCUCCAGAAAAGCAAUGCUGCAGUCAUAAGGGGUUCAGAAAUAUUUGACUUGUAAAUGAAGGUAAUCGUCAAGAUCAUAGUUUUUUGUGGCAUUCAUUAUAUGAUUAAUACAGCUUAAAAUUACUAUAUAUUCUAAAAACAAUUUGUUAAAUGGGCGAGGGGGGCAGAUAACUAUAGCAUACAUUUUGUCUUCAAUGGAUCGGCUUCAGUUUUAUGGUCAUUUACAUUAACGGUCAUUUUCAAAGCGUAAACGUUUACUUUUCGAUUACAGAGCUAAAAUAUGUUGUUUCAUGAAAGGACACAAAAUGAACCAAGGUAGAGAACAUAAGUAGGAAAAAGAAGAUGCUGUUCACUGGCCGCUGUCAAAUGUAUGGGGUUUAUUAAGAUCAAUCCAAAUGGGAUUUAACGACAAAGAGUUAUAGCAGAGCAAUAGACAUUGCAAGUAAACACCAUUGUUAAUCUGUGUACAGCAAUAACAACUGGAUAAAAGGACUUCAGAAUCAAAACUGUACUUAAGGUGAUGAUGCAGAAGAAUCAGCUCUACUUUUAACUACCAUCUUUUACAAUGUCUUACAUUAUGUGAAAGAGCUUCUCAAGCUUCCAAUCCUCCGUGAUCGAAGGUCUUUUUUUCUUAAAAUAUUAGCAAAAACACUGUCUUGGUACUAAAAGGGGACCAACAGGUCCAGCUCUUUACUCACGAGUACUAUUUCACACAUUUGAUCGUACUGCCAGCUCCAUUUUGUUCAGGUAACAGCGAACGGAAAAGAAUCAAAUACAUACAUGUUACUGCAUGUGGCAAAAGUGUGGCCUCACU